rnacentral:rRNA from 1 species
GGAUGCGGAUCUCGAAAGCCUGUCCCAGUUCGGACUGGAGUCUGCAACCCGACUCCACGAAGUUGGAUUCGCUAGUAAUCGCGCAUCAGCCAUGGCGCGGUGAAUACGUUCCCGGGCCUUGUACACACCGCCCGUCAAGCCAUGGGAGCCGGGGGCGCCUGAAGUCCGGGACCGCGAGGACCGGCCUAGGGCGAAACUGGUAACUGGGCUAAGUCGUAACAAGGUACC